UCACCGUGUCGUCGUCGCGGACCUAGCCCUCACUGUCGACUUCGCCAAUCUGCGAGCCACCAAGCCCUCCACCGCCGACAUUGCCAGGGAAGCAUUCUCGCUUGGGGGAAGCUUGGAUUUCUUGUAACAAGGCUGGUGAUCCAUAGAGCAUAGUAAAAUUCAUAAGAUAUUGUUUAGCAAUGGAUAAAAGUUGGAUGGACAAAAAGAGGAAUACUCGGGAAUAUUUUGAAGGUGUAAAAAAAUUUGUGGAAUUUGCGUCUCUUACUGCAUGCAAUGGGAGGAUUCCGUGUCCUUGUAAUCGAUGUGUGCAUGGAAAACUGUUUCUAACAAAAGUUGUACGAGAUCACCUAUACAUUUAUGGGAUUCUUACCAAUUACAGACCUUGGGUUUUUCAUGGGGAAUCAUGGUUAGCCACGACACCUACUAAGGGUGGGAGUAUGCUUCAUUAGUAACGUUGUUAAAUUAUCUUACGAUGUUGCCUUAUUGUAUUCAGGAUGAUGAUGAUGAGGAUAUGGAUUGAUGAGUAUUCUCCUGCUCCUUAC